rnacentral:lncRNA from 1 species
UACAUAACAAAUUUUCAAAUAUUAGAUAAUGUUGUAUUCAAGUGCAUCAAACCAACUUUAACAAGUAGGUUAAUGAUAUAAGCACUGUUAAGACACAAAUACACUUAUUAUCAAAUUCACACUAAUGACUAUUAGUUGUGUGUAUUAGUUAAUAUAAUACAUUGAUAUAAAUACGGUAAUGACAUUGGACUUAUUUGACUUUUGGAUAAUACAUUUUACAUUUGGCAAAUACAAUAAUUGUUUCCCAUAUCUGCUGCUCUCAUCGAGGAUUGAGAAAUCUCACAUGGUAUCAGAGCAAGGUUCUCCUUGGAUCGGAGGGAAAGAUCAUGAUUAUUGUUUCCGUUUGUUGAUUGAUUUCCAAUUUUCCCUAUUUGAUCGAUUUCCGAUUGGUGCAAUUUUCUUGUUACUGACUUUACCGAUUUCGAUUUAGGGUUGUCGAUUUAUUUUUUCUUUCUUUCCGUGAUUGUCAAUUUUGCGUCGAUUUUUUGGAUUUCCGAGAGCUUGCAUCGCGAUUUUAUCGAUCGUCGAUUUUGUGGAGAUUGCAUUGCGAUUUCGAUUUCGUGGAGAGUUCGCUUUUUAUUUUGAUUUGAUUACGUCUCUGGAUUUCUGUUCUGUUAAAAUUUUGAUUUCAGAUUACGUUUUGACUCUUAGUUCUGUUUCAAUUUGGAUUACGUUUUCAAUUUCAAUUCUGUUUCAAUUUCUUUGCUUGAGUAGAUUUUAAUCUUGUGGAUUGAUUCCGACUUGUUUUUUCGAUUUUAAUCGUCGUCGUCAAUUUUGAUUUAUUCAUCACGGUUUGCUUUGAUUUAAUUAAUCAAUUGGAAAUUACGGGAUUGCAAGUGAUUUGAUUCACCGUGCUACUUCAUCGUGUUUUUUGGAUUUGAUUGAUUUGGUUAAGUCAUUGCGAUUUUCACAAUCAUCUAAUAUAAAAUAAUUAGCCUCCACAAACCAUGUUAUCUUUGUCAAUC